rnacentral:rRNA from 1 species
CUCUUAUGGAGAGUUUGAUCCUGGCUCAGGACGAACGCUGGCGGCAUGCCUAAUACAUGCAAGUCGA